AACGAACGCUGGCGGCAGGCUUAACACAUGCAAGUCGAACGGUUGUAGCAAUACAGCAGUGGCAGACGGGUGAGUAACACGUGGGAACCUUCCUAGGGGUACGGAACAACUCAGGGAAACUUGAGCUAAUACCGUAUACGUCCGUGAGGAGAAAGAUUUAUCGCCCUUAGACGGGCCCGCGUCGGAUUAGCUAGUUGGUGGGGUAACGGCCUACCAAGGCGACGAUCCGUAGCUGAUCUUAGAGGAUGAUCAGCCACACUGGGACUGAGACACGGCCCAGACUCCUACGGGAGGCAGCAGUGGGGAAUCUUGGACAAUGGGCGCAAGCCUGAUCCAGCCAUGCCGCGUGAGUGAAGAAGGUCUUCGGAUUGUAAAGCUCUUUUACCAGGGACGAUAAUGACGGUACCUGGAGAAUAAGCCCCGGCAAACUUCGUGCCAGCAGCCGCGUAAGGCACGACUGU
rnacentral:rRNA from 1 species